UAAGGGAACAUAAAUGCCAGCCCAGG
rnacentral:piRNA from 1 species